rnacentral:tRNA from 1 species
GGGCGACUAGUCUAGUGGUCAGGACGCUUCGUUGUGGCGAUGCAAUUCCGAAGAAACCCAGGUUCGAUUCCUGGGUCGCCCA